AUUGAACGCUGGCGGCAGGCUUAACACAUGCAAGUCGAGCGGGGGAAGGUAGCUUGCUACCGGACCUAGCGGCGGACGGGUGAGUAAUGCUUAGGUAUCUGCCUAUUAGUGGGGGACAACAUCUCGAAAGGGAUGCUAAUACCGCAUACGUCCUACGGGAGAAAGCAGGGGAUCUUCGGACCUUGCGCUAAUAGAUGAGCCUAAGUCGGAUUAGCUAGUUGGUGGGGUAAAGGCCUACCAAGGCGACGAUCUGUAGCGGGUCUGAGAGGAUGAGCCGCCACACUGGGACUGAGACACGGCCCAGACUCCUACGGGAGGCAGCAGUGGGGAAUAUUGGACAAGGGGGGGAACCCUGAUCCAGCCAUGCCGCGUGUGUGAAGAAGGCCUUAUGGUUGUAAAGCACUUCAAGCGAGGAGGAGGCUACUUUAGUUAAUACCUAAAGAUAGUGGACGUUACUCGCAGAAUAAGCACCGGCUAACUCUGUGCCAGCCGCCGCCGUAA
rnacentral:rRNA from 1 species